GCCAGGUGUGGUGGUGCACACCUGUAAUCCCAGCUACUCGGGAAGCUGAGGCAGGAGAAUCACUUGAACCUGGGAGGCGGAGGUUGCAGUGAGCCGAGAUCACGCCACUGCACUCCAGCCUGAGUGACAAAGCAAGACUCCAUCUCAAAAUAAAUAAAGCGCAGCUGUGGAAGGCUUGCUUUGCUUUACCUUUUUUUUUUUUUUUUUAAGAUGGAGUAUCGCUCUGUCUACCAGGCUGGAGUGCAGUGGCACGAUCUCGGCUCAUUGCAACUUCUGCCUCCCAGGUUCAAGCGAUUCUCUUAUCUCAG
rnacentral:SRP_RNA from 1 species